GACAGAGGAUGCAAGCGUUAUCCGGAAUGAUUGGGCGUAAAGCGUCUGUAGGUGGCUUUUUAAGUCUGCCGUCAAAUCCCAGGGCUUAACCCUGGACAGGCGGUGGAAACUACCAAGCUGGAGUGCGGUAGGGGAGACUGGAAUUCCUGGUGUAGCGGUGAAAUGCGCAGAUAUCAGGAGGAACACCGGUGGCGAAGGCGGGUCUCUGGGCCGUAACUGACGCUGAGGAGCGAAAGCGUGGGGGAGCGAACAGG
rnacentral:rRNA from 1 species